UACGUAGGUGGCAAGCGUUGUCCGGAAUUAUUGGGCGUAAAGCGCGCGCAGGCGGUCCUUAAGUCUGAUGUGAAGCCCACGGCUCAACCGUGGAGGGUCAUUGGAAACUGGGGGACUUGAGUGCAGAAGAGGAAGCGGAAUUCCACGUGUAGCGGUGAAAUGCGUAGAGAUGUGGAGGAACACCAGUGGCGAAGGCGGCUUCUGGUCUGUAACUGACGCUGAGGCGCGAAGCGUGGGAGCAACAGG
rnacentral:rRNA from 1 species